rnacentral:rRNA from 1 species
AUUGAACGCUGGCGGAAUGCUUUACACAUGCAAGUCGAACGGCAGCACGGGGGCAACCCUGGUGGCGAGUGGCGAACGGGUGAGUAAUACAUCGGAACGUGCCCGGUCGUGGGGGAUAACGUAGCGAAAGUUACGCUAAUACCGCAUACGAUCUGAGGAUGAAAGCGGGGGACCUUCGGGCCUCGCGCGAUCGGAGCGGCCGAUGUCAGAUUAGGUAGUUGGUGGGGUAAAGGCCUACCAAGCCGACGAUCUGUAGCUGGUCUGAGAGGACGACCAGCCACACUGGGACUGAGACACGGCCCAGACUCCUACGGGAGGCAGCAGUGGGGAAUUUUGGACAAUGGGCGCAAGCCUGAUCCAGCCAUUCCGCGUGCAGGACGAAGGCCUUCGGGUUGUAAACUGCUUUUGUAUGGAACGAAAAGGCUCUGGCUAAUACCUGGGGCUCAUGACGGUACCGUAAGAAUAAGCACCGCCUAACUACGUG